rnacentral:rRNA from 1 species
UGGGGAAUUUUGGACAAUGGGCGAAAGCCUGAUCCAGCAAUGCCGCGUGUGUGAAGAAGGCCUUCGGGUUGUAAAGCACUUUUGUCCGGAAAGAAAUCCUUGGCUCUAAUACAGUCGGGGGAUGACGGUACCGGAAGAAUAAGCACCGGCUAACUACGUGCCAGCAGCCGCGGUAAUACGUAGGGUGCAAGCGUUAAUCGGAAUUACUGGGCGUAAAGCGUGCGCAGGCGGUUUGCUAAGACCGAUGUGAAAUCCCCGGGCUCAACCUGGGAACUGCAUUGGUGACUGGCAGGCUAGAGUAUGGCAGAGGGGGGUAGAAUUCCACGUGUAGCAGUGAAAUGCGUAGAGAUGUGGAGGAAUACCGAUGGCGAAGGCAGCCCCCUGGGCCAAAUACUGACGCUCAUGCACGAAAGCGUGGGGAGCAAACAGGAUUAGAUACCCUGGUAGUCCACGCCCUAAAACGAUGUCAACUAGUUGUUGGGGAUUCAUUUCCUUAGUAACGUAGCUAACGCGUGAAGUUGACCGCCUGGGGAGUACGGUCGCAAGAUUAAAACUCAAAUGAAUUGACGGGGUCC